rnacentral:rRNA from 1 species
UCAUCGAAUCUUUGAACGCACCUUGCGCUCCUUGGUAUUCCGAGGAGCAUGCCUGUUUGAGUGUCAUUAAUAUUAUAUAUCAACCUUCUCUUGCUUCACAAGAGAGUGGUUUGGAAGUGGGUGUCUGCUGGUCCCUUUGGGUUCAGCUCACCUGAAAUGCAUUAGCAGGGACAACAAUCCCUUGUUCAUUGGUGUGAUAACUCUUACGCCGUUGAAUGUGAAGGGGGGUCCAGUUCCAGCUUUCUAAUCUGUCUUUUUGUUUCAAAAAGACUUUGUCAUUAAUGUGACCUCAAAUCAGGUAGGACUACCCGCUGAACUUAAGCAUAUCAAUAAGCGGAGG